CACCAUGCCCCGCAGACUAUGAAUCGUUCAUACUCAUCAACUCUAGUGUAGUCUAGCACGUUAGCUGCGUUCAAAAACUAUUGGACAACAUCAUCGGAAUGUUACUUGGCCAUGUUAAUCAAGCUCCUCCCCAACAGGAAAAAAAGAAACUCCCAGCAACUUCACGGAACUGCGUCACUCUCCUUGGAGAAACGCGAACGAUAACAGAUAGCAUGUUAUCGCUUCUUCGCUGCCUACCGACGACCAGGUGCGUGUUGUCGUCGCGGGGUCGGUUAGCAGGUUCUCGCCGCUUCGACGACCGAGCUGCACGGGAAGGUGCUCGAGCGUUGGCCGGCUUCGGUGGUUCUCACUGCCGCACACAGCACACAGAGCCUACGGGUGCUGUGGAGGUUGACCUAAGGAAACUACGAUGGUAUCGUGGAGGUGCUCAUGUGUCGGCACAAGGCCCGAAAUGCUCUGGGCCAUGUGUUUGUGUCCCAGGCGCCGACCUGAAAGAACGAGCGCUGAUGGAUGACCGAGAAUCCGAUUUGUUUGUUCACGGCCUGCGGAGCCUCAUGACUCAAAUAGCCUCGCUGCCCAUGCCCACCAUAGCAGCCGUUGAUGGAGUGGCUCUGGGAGGAGGACUGGAGCUCGCCUUGGCCUGUGACCUUCGCACUGCUGCGUAUUCGGCACAGAUGGGCUUGAUUGAGACGACACGAGGGCUGCUCCCAGGGGCAGGGGGCAGUCAGCGGCUGCCGCGCACCGUUGGCAUCACUCUGGCCAGGGAGCUGAUCUUCACAGGGAGGCGCGUGGAAGGGCGGGAGGCAUCGGAGAUGGGCCUGGUGAACCGAGUGGUGGAACAGAACGAGACUGGAGACGCCGCUUACUCAGAAGCACUCACCCUGGCCAGAGAGAUCCUGCCGCAGGCUCCCAUCGCUGUGCGGAUGGCAAAAGAGGCAAUGAACAGAGGCACUGAGGUUGACAUGAACUCAGCGAUGGCGAUAGAGAGGAUGUGCUAUGCUCAGGUCAUCCCCACACGGGACAGACGUGAAGGUAUGGCGGCAUUCAUAGAGAAGAGACCUCCGCGAUAUAUUGGCAAAUAAUUAAUCAUUUUGGGUGAUGAACCACUUUUUUAUAAACACUUUUAUAUGCUUACUAAGCUGAAACCACUACACUAAAUCAUUCAGGAUGAUGAAAUUCAAUAAAACAAUGUAAACAUAUACAUUCUUUAUUUCCUAAGUGGGGAAAAACAAACCUUAUAAAAACUUAUGAAAGAUACCAAUAACCAUAGUAAUGUCAUACAGCAGUUUAAGGCGCCAAAACAUGAUAUGAUUUAGACCAAACAUUUUCUGGAAAAACAAAUUUGUAAACAAUUAGUAAAGAUUUCGUAGUUCAUCUUGCAUUAUUUCCUAUGUUUGUUUUUUUCUUCAAACAUCAAACAACUUGGAAGUCAACCAGCAUCCCCAAAUGAUUUGUGGUUAACUUCAGAGUUUCAACUACAAGAGUUUUGAUGAAUGAAUAUUUUAUUUCAGGUAAUAUCUAAUGGGAAAUUGGAACAACCUGCAUGUGUUCAACUUUGGACUGUAUUUGUAUAACUUCUUUUACAUAGUCAACCAAAGUUUUCUGGAAAAAAUAUGCCUCAAAAGUUGAAACUUGGCAGUUUUGAUGAAUGAAUAAUUCAGGUCACAUUAUUUCUAGUGGGAAAAUCUGAAAUUUGAACAUUUUGGAAGUUGGAAGGUUGGUCUUGGUGGAAGGAUAUUGUGGUAAACCUUAGGAGGGUUCGCUGUGUACUUAUUUUAUUCUUGUACAAGUACAAGUAUAAAAGUGUACUUGUACAUUUAUUUUUAUGACUUAACUAUAGUUGAACGCCUCAAAAGUGUCGGAAUUUGGACUUCAAUUGUGGAGGUUCCACUUCUUUUGACCCCUUAACUAUAAUGGAAUGCCUGAUAUGGGAGUUUCGAUGAAUGAAUGAUGUACUUUUCAUUAUUUCUAUUGGGGAAUGUCUACAAUUUGGAAGUCAACCAGCUUCACGAGAAAGACUGAAAUGUGGAGGUUCCACUCUAUUUGUAUAACUUUUUUCUUCUUCUAUGACUGAACUGCAGUCAAAUGCCUCAGCGUGGUACAAUUUGGAUUCCUAGUUUUCUUGCAAAAUGUCUCCAAAGUCAAAACAAAACUCUGGAGUUUAAAUGUGGAAUUCACUUUACAUGAAUUCUAAUUGGAAAACUAGCAUCAACCAGCAUCACAUGAUAGACUGUUCCACUUUGGAGGGUCCACUGUAUUUGUAUGAGUUGUUUUACACACACAAAGUGAUCAAAUUUGGAGUUCAACCAAGGCGUCUGUAAAAUUACGCCUCAACAGUUAAAACGAAACUCUAAAGUGUUGAGAAGGGAAUAAUUCACUUUAGAUUCAUACAAAAAUUUGACUUGGAAGUCAACCAGUUUCAACAAACUGUGCUCAACUAUGGCGGUUCCACUGUAUUUGUAUAACUUCUUUUUACACUUUUAUGACAGUUGUGUAACAAACACAAUUGAACACACAAGAAGUGAUCCUGUCCAAGUACUACAAGCAGGAUAACCUUUGAAUAACGCAAAAGGUAACUAGAGAAUUGUGUACUUCUUUUUUGCACUUCCUCAGAAGCCGUAUAGCAUGUAGUGUUGAACCAAAACGUUUUGCUUUUUCCUGAUGGGCACAAGCGACAGCAAAGAAGAAAAAGUGGUGGCAGACAUGUUGCAUGGCCCACGCCGCCCACAGCUGCACCCCAGGCGUGUGGAAGCACUCCAGGAGUGGAAAGAAGGGGUUAAAUGACCUGCAGGAUGAAACAUAUUGGAGUAUAUUUCCGCUGCUCCAGCAGCGAGGAUCUGAGGUCGGGGCUGAGCGUCCACGCGUCCUUCCCUCGUGACGUCAGGUGUGCCAAGAUGCCCGCGGCGAAGUAGCUCACCUCCACUUCUGGACUGUGCAGCAGGGUCCUGAUGUGGUCCAGGAAGGUCUGCACCAUCAGCUCGCCAUGCAGCUCGCCCACUUCCGCGAUGUUGUUCUACACAGACACAUCCAGGGAAACCAGAGCGGGAAGUAUGCCGGGUUGUCCGAGCAGCUGACGAGCAACGUCGGAGGUAAACUGUUUAUCAUCGCUGAUGUCCAGGUGCUGAAUGCAUUAAAAAGUGUUUAUCUGAAAGCUUUUAACAUAAAGUCCCGCCUCCCGUACACCAACCUGCAAUACAUCCAACUGUCCGAUGACGCCCAGCAGCUGCGCGGUGCUCAUCUCCAGCCUCUUGAGCUGGUGCAGCGUCAGCGAGCGCAGCCUCUCCUUCAGGCCCAGCAGCGGGUUCAGGUUGGUGACCGACGUGUUGGACAGGUCCAGACUCUCCAGCCGAGGCAGGGCACACACGUCUGCCAGGCCUGAGUCGUAGAAGUCCACGUUGGCCAAGGACAGCGACCGCAGGCCCUGGAGGGAGCUGAAGCCAUGUCGGGUGGGCUCUUCCAGGGAAGACAUGGUGAGGCCCGUGAGAACAAGUCGCUGGAGGGACUCCUGCAGGAUGGGACACAACACCAUCUGUCAUUGCAAGCCAACGUUGGAGAGAGUGCAACCAAGACGACUUAACACACUUGACAGUAUUUAUUAGUGGCCAGUCCAUGCAGAAUAUCAGGGAUGGUGAGGUCUGCAUUGACCCUGGCCGCAUCCAGCUCUGAAAGCCUGUGAGGACAAAGGGCUCUCUGGAAGGCCUCAGCAGAUAUCCGUGCGGUGCGGAUGCACGCUCGCCUCAACCGCAGGUACUCGCUGGUCCGAAACACACCAACUGUGCUGUCAUUCAACAGACCUGUGGCAGGAACAUACAGUACUAUUUUUUAAUAUGACAAUUGUCAUUUUGAAUUCACACUUUUAUUUCAAUAAUAUUAUGACCUAAUUAUUUUCAAAAUAAAGCUGUAUUCUGGUUAAUAUUGCAUUAACAUUACAGCUUUGUUCCCACAAUAAGGUGACAUUAUUCUGUUAAUAUUGCAGCAUUUAUCUCAAAAUAUUAUGGCACUAUUCCUGUAAUAUUGUCACUUUAUUCUCAUAUUUUUUUUAGCAUUCUUGUAAUAUUAGGACUUAAAAUAUACCAAAAUGCAAACCGCAUGCUUCACUAUAAGGCAGGAGAACCGUGUGAUUUCUUCCUAAAAUAUAACACUAAUUGUACUAGCUAGCAGCUUUCAAUGGACCUUCAACAUCCCAGUCAAUUGGAGGUUCACACAAAUAAGUGCUCAGGCCUUAAUGAAAAUGGCUAGACUUAGAAAUAUUGAAAUGCAAUUAGAACUACAGUUAUUAUGCUGUUAUUAUGCAUGCAGUGCUAACAGUUGUUCUUGGGAGGUUUUGGGGUGUCACAAAUGUUAAUAGUGCCCCGUCAUUGUCAUAACAGGAUUGUGUAGGUUAGUUUGUUUACAUCUGUUUAGUAAAAUGGUGUUGUGUGAUUGUACAACACACAAACAAUGGACAGGCCCAUCAUUGCCAAUAUUAGUAUGAGAUUUUGUUUACCCUCUGUGGCCAUUUUAGCCAGCAGCUGGUCUGCGAGCUCCUGGGGGAAGAGUACAGCCUCCCUGAAACACAGAGAUCCAUCCGGACGCUUCACGCAGAAACACUCCAGGUUCUGGCUCACAAAGGUCAGGCAAAGGUCUGUCAGACCUGCCGGAGACGCCUCGUCCUGCAGAACAACACGCAACAUGCUACUUUGCAUUCAUGCUCCUUAUCUUUUACAAGGGACUACAAUAAAACACGAAGCAAAACCUACCGUGUUGAAGAAGCUGCAGGCCAUGGUGGUGAAACUACACCUAUUAGAUGACGGGCAACACAAAAAUCUGGUCCUCACUAGUGGGCGUAGCUCCAGCCCGACUGGCGUUGGCGCUGACGGGUCAACUUGCC